rnacentral:lncRNA from 1 species
CAUUAUCCAGUUUACUACUAUUCAUUAAAUGUCUAAAGUAUAAAGACUACUUUCUCUCUCUCUCUCACUCCAUACGGGCUGCUGAGUUAACUCUUCUCAUUUGAUAUUAACUCAUUUCUCUCUCUCCAAAACCAAACGAAGCCCUAAUGGAAGAAGAAAGGCAAAUCCCAGCGGAGAUUAUAAACUAAACCAAUUAAAGAACUGAAGUCUAGGAUUUUGAGCUCAAGCUGGGGACUAGAAAUUCAACGUUGACUUCGAUCUUAAGCCCAAGGUUUUUUUCCCCAUUAUUUUUCUUUGUUUCGUUUUUAGUUUUUUGGUAAGGAAUAAUUUGAUUUUUAGGCUGAUGUGAAAUGGGUUUUGAUUGUUUUUGUCAUUAAAGUAGGGUUUUUAUGAUUAUUUAAUUCAAAAUGAAUUUUCAUACAUAAUGGAAAGAAUAGGGAUGAACGAAAUCCUGGUUUAGUUGUUAAUUUAUUCUCUUAUUGGAUAAAUUGGUUUCGUUAGUUCAUAUUUUGUCUCCUCGUAUUUUUAAAGUUAAAAAAAAAAAAUGCAACAUCACUGCAUUCUUUUAUGUGUUUAAGAUAGGAGGUAUAAUUUUUUGGGAAAAAACUUCAUCUAAUAAUUAGACGGAAAUCCAACAAAAGAGUUCAAAUUUAUUUUACUAUUAUGUGGAUUAGAUAUGUUUAAAAAAUAUGGCCUUUACUAUAAUUCUUUAGAAUCCCUGGUGUUAGAAGCUUUCCAAACCUUUUAAAAUUGAUGUUUAUCUUCUGGACAGGGUCUAUGGUCUAGAUGUUUGUCAUGUUAUUAUCUCCCUAUAACUUAAAAGACACUUACCAAUAGUUACUGUUCGUAGUUGAGUUUCACGUUUUCGUACUUAACUUUUUGGAACUGGUUUGGCAAUUUCGAUGGGUCGUUAGUAGUUGAUGAACCCAAAAGUUUUUUGUAUCAAUCAUUCAAUUUUUCAGACUUGAAACUCAUUUCACACGAAUUUUUUCUUCAUCAUCUUGCAUAUUUUUGGUAUGCUCCCAGAUUAUUACACAUAUGUUUUCACUCAUGUUUAGAAAAUCUUAAGCCAUUUGGAUGUUUCGAAGAUUAAAUAUUCAUUCUAUGAAUUAUAUUUAUCUAACAAUUAAUUGAUUUAUCUAAGUUUAAUUCAUGCAUGAUUCUUUACAUAGGAAAUGAAAAGUUUCGUUUAAGAAAUAUUUUCUAAUGUAGAGGUUUCUUCCCAUGAUUUUUUUUAUUUAAAGAAAAUUCCUAAUUUUUGGAAGAGUUUUAGUUUAGUUCUCAAUUUAUUUGAUUGAGAUGAAGAAAGUAAGUGAAAUUCUGAAGGGAAAAUGAAAUGUUGGGAUUUAAGAAGGUUAGGUGUUUGGAUGAGAUUGAAGAAAAUUACUGGAGUUUUGAGACAAUGUGUGGUGAAAAAGAGAGUGUGAUAUCCCUAUACCUUAAAAGACACUUACCAAUAGUUACUGUUUAUAGUUGAGUUCCAAGUUUUGACACUUAACCUUUUGGAACUGGUCUGACAAUUUUGAUGGGCCGGUAGUUACUGUUGAUGAGCCCAAAAGUUUUUUGUAUCAGUCAUUCAAUUUUUCAGACUUGAAACUCAUUUCACACGAAUUUUUUCUUCAUCAUCUUGCAUAUUUUUGCAUUCGUAUGCUCCCAUAUUAUUAUACAUAUAUUUUCAUUCAUGUUUAGAAAAUCUUAAGCCGUUUGGAUGUCUUGAAGAUUAAAUAUUCAUUCUAUAAAUUAUAUUUAUUUAACAAUUAAUUGAUUUAUCUAAGUUUAAUUCAUGCAUGAUUCUUUACAUAGGAAAUGAAAAGUUGGGUUUAGAAAAUAUUUUCUAAUGUAGAGGUUUCUUCCCAUGAUUUUUUUUUAUUUAAAGAAAAUUCCUAAUUCUUGAUAGAGUUUUAGUUUAGUUCUCAAUUUAUUUGAUUGAGAUGAAGAAAGUAAGUGAAAUUCUGAAGGGGAAAUGAAAUGUUGGGAUUUAAGAAGGUUAGGUGUUUUGAUGGGAUUGAUGAAAAUUAUUGGAGUUUUGAGAUAAUGGGUGGUGGAAAAGAGAGUAUGAUAUUAAAAAUGGAGAAGUAGGUGUUGGAGCAAUGAAUCAAAAUGAUUUCUUUGUUGGGAAUGAGGUUUCUCAUAGUUUUGUAGUGGAUUCAUGUCUUCUUCAUGUGAAUGAUCAGAACAAAUGGGACUUUGAUUUUAAUGACGGGAAAGAGGAAAGUGGUUGGAUUUUGAUAAUAAUGUGCCAGUGUGUCGACCUUUGACAUGAAAGAUGGUGGAAUGGAAAUAAUCUAUCAAAGGUAUACACAACAACAACCUAUGAACAUUGAGCGGAGAAUGGAAAUUAUUGACAUUACGUCAAUGAGAGGAUGAUGAUGUGGAAAUAAUGUCUUAUAAAAAAGAUGAUAUCGGAAAGGGUAAGCAAAUUGAGGUUAGGAUGUUACGUAAUAGUACAAAAUAUUUGAACGUUGCUGUGGCAUACUCUUCUUACAAUGUAGGAUUAGGUGUAUCUGUUCAAUAUUCGUGCUAGAUGCAUUUCGAAAGUACUUGAGGUUGUUUUGUAGUAUGAUUUUGGAGCAAAUGUAUACACAUUUUCUGUUUGCUAUAUAGAUGUUGAGACAACAUUAUUUUUUAUAGCCUAAUUACGGUAAAUCCAAAUAAACUAUAAUGCACUAUAUUACACCAUCUGGAAUAAAAAAACUAAAUACUUAACCCCUUGUACCAUGGAAAUGUAACGCUUAAAAACAGUUCAAUUAGCAUGCUAUAGACCAAUUGAAUUUCGCACAUGAAUUCCAUGUAUGUGGAAUAUUUCCUACUUUUGUAUGAUAAUUAUUAAGAGGGGGUGGUAUUGUCUGGUUAUUUUGAAGUAUGAGUGCUAACAGGUAAUGCCUUCUUUUUUGAAAGAUGCAGAGACUAUAACUUGCAUGUGUGGUCAAAUCAAGUGGGGUCUAGAGUUGUUUGUGAUUAUUUAGUUUGCAUCCAAACUAAUGGUAGGAUGGCAAAAAAAUUCACUCGAUAAAAUUUAAAAAGUUAGGUUGAAGAAAAUGAAAGCUAGGGGUUAGGGAUCAUUUCUGUUAAGUUUCUUUCUAUUUCUAGUGACAAGCCCUUAAUUUGUAUAUAGUGCCUAACAUUAUUAUUUUAUACACACAAAUUUUUUUUAAAAAAAAAACAUAAGAGGAUUUAUCCAUAAUGACUCUUUUAAAUAUUCGUAUACUUAAAAUUCAACGAAAAAGAGAAAAUACCGAAUUACAAUUGCUUUUGCUUGUAUGGAUAUAUCAUCAAAGUUACAUUGCUAAUUUUUGUGGUAGUGACUUUUUAUAACAAAAAAUAGCCUUUGAAGGUUCCUUUGUCUUUGAUGUUAACAAUCUGAAUUUUUACAUUAAAUUUAUACAGACUUCAGUAAAAUAAUUUAGUGGAAAAUAUGUGUUAAGACAAAAAUCGAGUUUAAAAAAUUAAGAUAAACACUAACUUUUACGUUCUUGUAAUGUAGGGAAAUUGUGUAAUCUUUUGGUAAAGGCACUUCCUUCUACGUGAUUCAGGCACAAUUUCUUCAAAAAUAUUCAUUUGAUACUAAUUUUGUUAUUCUUUCAUAGUGAUUUGUAAAAGACCUUUGUAUAUUUUUCCUUUAAAACUUCCUGUUGAUUUCUCGACUAUUCUAUGUAUUUCGAUUUUUAAAUUUAUAUUGUGAACAGGUUCACAUUUGUAAUUAUAUAUUUAUCGUCUGCAUAAUAGCUUUAGAAAUCGAAUGUAUAUGUGAUUAUUUUGCUAGGUUUUUGUUUUUCUGGGAUUUCUUAUACUUUUGUUGGCGUUUUCUUGCCCCUAAAAUGGCGUAUGCAUAUCUUAACAACAACCUGUAAUACAAUACCAAAACAACAUAAAAAUUUUACAUGCUAGCUAGCCAACGUACCUAUGUCUUCUCUUUAUAUUUUGGCUUACUAAUUUAAAUUAAAUUUUGACCUGUCACUUUAGGCUUCUUUCAAAAAAAAAAAAAAAGGUGUUGAAAUUCUUCAAUUUUUUUGUGGAUUUGUUUUAGAAGGUGCUAAUUUUGUAGAUCAAAAGGGGGAAAAAAACCCUGAAACUUUAGUUCUUGCAAGAUAUUAGACUUCAUUUAUAAAGUUAUCCACUUUGUAGCUUGCGUCUUCCUUGGACUCUGCAUCUUAUUAAGUCUGACUUUUCGACAACUAAUAUCAACGCGAGCCUGUUUAGAUAAGUUGAUUGGAACCACUCUCUAGUGCUGUGUUGAUGACUUCUGUAGCUCCUGCUAUGAUUGCAUGUUUAAUGUUGUUGUAUUUAGCUUUCUUGUUAUGAUGUUCAAUAUUUUUCUGUAUCACCUUGAACCUUUUGUCACCUGGGUAAUAUUCUCUCGUUCUUGGAGUUAAAUUUAUAUUUUCUGGAAGUUCAGUAGAUGGAACAAUGUUGGUUUGAUUUUCUAUUUUUAGGAAAGUUUCAUUUGAGCUGAUUAAUUUGAUCACGAAAGUGCUAUUUAUGUUCAAGUUAUAGUAUUCUAAUAUCGUCCAUCUACAAAACUAACAGUUUCUCCUACAUGGAAAAUGAUAUACAUGAAUUAUUUGUCGUAACUUGGUUCUUGGAGUUGUCCAAUGUUCAUUGGUGGUUAUUAUGGUUCUUUUUCUAUUUAUUAAACAUGCACAAAGAGAGUGAGGUAGUAGUUAUUAUUGAAAGUUGAUUUAGGGCCCGUUUGGCAUUGCUCUUGAAAAAUCAAAAUGAACUUUUGAAAUUCAAAAGCUGCUUUUGGACUUAUUUGACUAAUUUUAUGAAUCCUUCGUUGGGGAAGAAUUUAUAAACGAUCUAAUUUAUAAAUUGAUAGAAAUAAGUGAUAGAUAGGUGAAUAAUACAUGUGAAUCCUUUGAAAUGUGUUGUUGAAAAUGAAAUUUUAUCAUUUAUAAAUCAUUUUAAGGCGAAUGGAGGCUAACCAACCAAUUUUCCAUUUAUGCAUAUUGAACUUGUAUAAUUCGGGCUCAUUUAUUGGAUUGUUUUGGUACCAUCUUCUAUGCUCUUGUAGUGGGUAUUAAAAUUAAAUUUUUAGUAAAAUUUUGAUAAUAGUUGAUUAAAUGUGUUGUUAAAAAGUUGUGAAUUCUAUGAAGUAUAUUGUUAAAAUUAAUUGUUGGCUUUGAUUUAUAUUAAAAAUUAGAUUUUAGUCCCUACCAAACAGGUUUUUAUAAAUCAUAUUGAGUAACUUUGAGUGAAAUUUUCCCACAAUUGUUUAUCAUAUUUUAGACAUUUNNNNNNNNNNNNNNNNNNNNNNNNNNNNNNNNNNNNNNNNNNNNNNNNNNNNNNNNNNNNNNNNNNNNNNNNNNNNNNNNNNNNNNNNNNNNNNNNNNNNNNNNNNNNNNNNNNNNNNNNNNNNNNNNNNNNNNNNNNNNNNNNNNNNNNNNNNNNNNNNNNNNNNNNNNNNNNNNAUUCAUAUAAUCAAGUUUAACUUAUUUUUAAGUAUAACUAUACUUAUAAUGGCAAACCAAUUCCAAAUAAGAAACUUUUUCUAUCUUCUAAAGUUUUAAAAUUAUAUUAGUGUAUUAUUAAUUGUUUAGAUCUUAUGCAGGCAUUUCUGAGGGUCGCAAAAGAUCUUAAUGCUAUUGUGAUUGCAACCAGAGAGAGUCAAGAGAGUAGGUUUGGCCUAUACUGGUUCUUCAUGUUUUAAUUAAUUCUAUCAUUACGCGUUUUACCUCUACUUUGAUGCUUGAAUUAAAGUGUUUCGGUGCUAUCUUCUUUUAUGAAUGAGUAAGAACAUGAAAUUGGUUUCACUUCCUGCUUUAAUAUGCAUCAUCUUUAUGAUGCCCUGGGGCUCAAGCUCCGUAGUGUUGCUAAAACUUAGUUAAGCAUUUUAAGUAUAAAACACAAAGGAAAAUUGUAUAGGAUUAUAAAAAAUAAAUGACUAAUGCCAUUAAUAACAAUAAACUAAUUUUUUUAAAACAAAGUCGCAUAUUCAAUAACUUUUGACAUAAAAGAAAAAGUAUUUCGAUGAUAAUUACUUAAAUCCAUUAGCCAAAAAAAUAAAUGAAUAAAUAAAUAAAAAUUCCAUCAAUUAGUUUUCACACUUGAUCUGAUUUGGGAUCAUUCCAACACUAGCCAACAAUAAAGCUUCCAGACUAACUUUUGAUGCUUGUAGCGUCAUUCCUUCCUUCCACUCAUCUAUUAUUUCCUUUAGAGUCACAUCAGCAAUCAAAUUUGGAAUCUUUAUGUUCAAUCCUCUUUUUGGACAGACAGUUUUCUUAUUAUUCUCAAACUUAACCAACCAUUCAAGAAUUGCUAUCUUCUUACAUGUCAUCCCACUUUCUAUUGUUACUGGAUCAUUCAUAAUCUUUUACAUCAACAGACAAAAGAAUUUAUCAUAUAAGUGCUCCAUGUAUUCAGCAGUUUGUGGCAAACUAAUAAAGGGGCCAGCAUUCCAACUUUCGUAGUCAUUUUUGCCUCCACUCUUUCUGCUUUCUAAAUUACCCGAUAAUUGUAGAUUUACUAAAUAAAUUUCAACAUUAGUAGAAUACAAAUCUAUAUCCAUUUGUUCAUAAUUAAACAUGUCCUACAUUGUUUUCAUGUAAACAAUUUAAUCUAUUAUAAAGCACAUUAUUUCUAUACAUAUCGUAUAAUAAAAUUUUCAACAUCUUUUCUCUCUUAAACCUUAUGAUUAUUUUUUUCAUUAUUUUUAGUUCCAGUUGCUGACUUCUUCUUCGAAGUAUUAAAUCAUUUAUUGUUCUGAUGGAUCCUUCAAUAAUGUCUUUUGAUGGAAAAUUUGUUGUUCUUAAAUGUGAUAUCAUUCUUCCAAGCAAUAGUGAGGCAUACAAUGCAUUCAUUCGCCAACAAUGAAAUCAAAGACAGAGGGAUUGGAGAAAUCGAGUCAAAGCUGGACGAAUUGAUUCUAUGAAAAGGGUAACUGACAUAGUAUUAUCCGAAAAUACUAAUUUUAGUUCUGCCCAUGUGAAUGAAGCUGUAAUAUGUCAUGAUUUCGAGGCUUCUACUUCAAACCAAGAAACGACAGAUGUUUCUAAAUGUGUAAAACUUGUGAACAUACCAAAUACUGUAUAUGUAUUACCAACAUGUACCUAUUGUAAAUAUUGUGGUGCACGAAAAUUUUAUAGAGAAAGUAAAGGUUUUUGUUGCUUAGAUGGAAAAGUUAUACUUUGUAUGCCCGAUUCACAACUGAACUAUAUACUUUGUUUACUUCUAAAGAAUCUAGGAA